UACAGAGGGUGCGAGCGUUGUUCGGAAUUAUUGGGCGUAAAGGGCGCGUAGGCGGUGCGGUAAGUCACCUGUGAAAUCUCCUGGCUCAACUGGGAGCUUGCAGGCGAAACUGCCGUGCUGGAGUGUGGGAGAGGUGCGUGGAAUUCCUGGUGUAGCGGUGAAAUGCGUAGAUAUCAGGAGGAACACCUGUGGCGAAAGCGGCGCACUGGACCACAACUGACGCUGAGGCGCGAAAGCCAGGGGAGCAAACAGG
rnacentral:rRNA from 1 species